AUUAAUAAGCGGAGGAAAAGAAACUAACAAGGAUUCCCUUAGUAACGGCGAGUGAAGCGGGAUUAGCCCAGCACCGAAUCCUCCGCUCUGACGGGCGGCGGGAACUGUGGUGUUAAGGACAGCCUAUGGGGAUCGUUCGGGAGUCCGAGUCCUCCUGAUCGGGGCUUCACCCAGAGCGGGUGUCAGGCCUCUACGGCGCCCGGCCGGUCCUCUCAGGUCGUCCUAGGAGUCGGGUUGUUUGAGAUUGCAGCCCAAAGCGGGUGGUAAACUCCAUCUAAGGCUAAAUACAGACACGAGUCCGAUAGCGCACAAGUACCGUGAGGGAAAGUU
rnacentral:rRNA from 1 species